GUUUGGACGUUGAAGGGGCACGUUAGAGAAGGAAGACGGAGAGCGCGCUUGUUUGAAAUUGAAAGGUGUCGCGGUAGUUGUUGGUAAAGAAUAUCAUCAAGACGAAGCAACUGCAUUAUAAGUGGGAUGGACUGUUGACCGAUACAUCCCGAGGCGUUCGUGCUGAUUGUACGGAGAUUGUGACAGCCGGUUAAAUGGCGUCCCUUGAGAAAGCAAGAACAAGAUAUGUCAGGCGAAGUGCAGUAUUACAUAAGGAGAUGUAUACUUGGAAAAGGGGAUAUGUUUUGUUAAAGAAGAAUGGUAGAAAGCGUAAACUGAGUGAGCUGAAGACCGGUGGAGAAAUGGAAGUGAAUGAGGGCGAAGUAUCGGAGGUUCCAUUUCAUGACAAGCCCAGGCUACAGGAGUGGGUAGCAAGGGACAGGAGGAUGAAUUGGAAACCAACCCAACACUCUUGUCUCUGCCCAUCACUUUGAAGAUGAGUGUUUUUGGGAUGAUGACAAGGGAAAGGUCAGCCUCACUGCUUCUGCUGUGCCCAGUAAUUUCUCCCCUGAUUGUUUUCAAAAGUGGUCACAAUGCCCCAGGGAAAGAUCAAGGAAUAAAGUAGGUACAGAGUCCCCUCCUGUACUCCCUGUUCACCCAUGACUGCAUAGCCAGGCACGACUCCAACACCAUCAUUAAGUUUGCAGACGACACAACAGUGGUAGGCCUGAUCACCGACAACGACGAGACAGCCUAUAGGGAGAUCAGAGACUGGGCUGGGUGGUGCCAGAAUAACAACCUAUCCCUCAACGUAACCAAGACAAAGGAGAUGAUUGUGGACUACAGGAAAAGGAGGACUGAGCACGCCCCCAUUCUCAUCGACGGUGCUGUAGUGGAGCAGGUUGAGAGCUUCAAGUUACUUGGUGUCCACAUCAACAACAAACUAGAAUGGUCCAAACACACCAAGACAGUCGUGAAGAGGGCACGACAAAGCCUAUUCCCCCUCAGGAAACUAAAAAGAUUUGGCAUGGGUCCUGAGAUCCUCAACAGGUUCUACAGCUGCAACAUCGAGAGCAUCCUGACUGGUUGCAUCACUGCCUGGUACGGCAAUUGCUCAGCCUCUGACCGCAAGGCACUACAGAGGGUAGUGCGUACAGCCCAGUACAUCACUGGGGCUAAGCUGCUUGCCAUCCAGGACCUCUACACCAGGCGGUGUCAGAGGAAGGCCCUAAAAUUUGUCAAAGACCCCGCCACCCCAGUCAUAGACUGUUCUCUCUACUACCGCAUGGCAAGCGGUACCGGAGUGCCAAGUCUAGGACAAAAAGGCUUCUCAACAGUUGUUACCCCAAAGCCAUAAGACUCCUGAACAGGGGGAGAGUCUCCGCCAAGAAUUUACGACCUGAGAUAACAGCACCUGGGUGUAGGAGUCAGAGGGGGAAGCCAUGAUCUACACCCAGAAAAGGCCACGUCAUGACAACUGUGAUGCUGGAUGUGCAUGAUGACACCAGUGGUGUGUCAGAUGUAGGCCUACAUCACAAUGACAUAGCUGUAAUAGUGGAUGCCGGCCGCUGCUGAUUCCUUGCUUCUCACUAGGCGAUGUUGCCACACCUCAGCUGAGAAGAGGAUCCAAUAUGACAAACCAUGCAGCAAUUUCUCAAUGGUACAGCUUCUUGGUUAAAUACAAAGGUUCUCUUUCAUUUUCUCCUCUACAUUUGGAUUGACAAUGGUGCUUGUGUGCAUCUAAUGUAGUUUAUGAGCUUUGAUUUCAAGCAUAACCAUGCGGCUUUAUAAGUAUAACACAGAAACUAUAGAUAACGCUAUCCAGAAAUCUUACAUACUGUUUUCUGAAAGUUAUUUUAAAACUGUAAAUCCUAAAGAAAAUUAUCCAACUUGUAACUCUGAUUUGGACUAUCGGUUUCUGUCAAAACUCCCACACUGAUGAAAGUGAUAUUGUGGAAAGCCUAGAUAUGGAACAGCUUGGAUGUCAUCAGUCUUUGGGCAAGUCAUCAUGAGGUUAAAUCACGUCCUCUGCCUCUCUCACUCCUCUCUGUCACUUCUCUCCUCUACACGUGGUCAUUGCUUCAACAUUGCUUCAGCACGUGGACAUUGCGGCCCUCCUGAUCAAGUUCAAAUGAAGUGUUCAGUAUUCUCUGAUUCUCAACACAAGCAAGAGAGCUCUCAUACACUGAGUAUACCAAGCAUUAGGAACAACUUCCUAAUAUUGAGUUGCACCCCCUUUUGCCCUCAGAACAGCCUCAAUUCAUCGGGGCAUGGGCUCUACAAGGUGUCAAGCGUUCCACAGGAAAGCUGGCCCAUGUUGAUGCCAAUGCUUCCCACAAUCCUUGUUUACCCUGUCUCCCCCUUCAUCUACACUGAUUGAAGUGGAUUUAACAAGUGACAUCAAUAACGGAUCAUAGCAUUCACCUGGUCGGUCAGUCUGUAAUGGAAAGAGCAAAUCAAAUUUGAUUUGUCACAUGCGCCGAAUACAAAAUGUGUAGACGUUACCGUGAAAUGCUUACUUACAAGCCCUUAACCAACAAUGCAGUUCAAGAAAGAGUUCAUAAAAUAUUUACUAAAUAAAGUAAAAAUGAUUAAAUCAAUCAAAAAGUAACACAACAAAUGUGUAUAACAAUAACGAGGCUAUAUACAGGGGGUACCGGUACAGAGUCAAUGUGCCGGGAUACAGGUUGGGUGUUCUUAAUGUUUUGUAUACUCAGUGUUUUAAAUUUGUUUUGCUCAUAAUGGUAGAUGUAUGCAUGUGUGCAACUAGAAAGAUAUAACAACUACGUUUCUGACUUCCAAUGACAGCCUGCUCACUAUAAUUCCCAUCCAAUAUAUUUUUACAUGCAUGCCUGGGGAAACCCCUUAUCACCCAGUAACUCCUCCUUCAGGUUGAUGAUAUCCAUGCCCUGUUGGACACUUAUGUAACCAGAUGCAGAGAAGAGGGAUCACCAGCUCAGCUCAUCACUGUCCAAUUUCUGGUUGGGACAACAGACAUUGCUCGACCUGCGCUUGAUUUGUCCCAUUUGCUACCCAGCCAAACAGAUUAACAUUUUAAUGCAUAAAUCCUUUAGCUUUUGCAUUUUAAAUUUGUGUGUCUCUUAAAAGCUGGCUGGUUAUUAAACAGUUUAAUAUCUUCUCAAUUAGUUAAGUUAUUACAUAUUAAAAGAUUAGCUGUGGAUUUUUCCACUAUAUAUGAUUGGUUUGUGACUCUCCGACCAAUCUCUAAUCAUAUCCUGUAGUGCUGUAAAGUGGAGUUCCCCUCCACCAAUCCCUCAGGGCUGCAAUGUAAAGUCAAACUCCAUUCUCUUAUAAACUAUGGUGAACUGAUACAGUGAACCAGCUAAAGUCGGUAUGUAAACUGACACCACUGGAGGUCUUGCGGUAUUUGUGUAGAACAAGAAAGAAAACAAGUAGGUGGACAGUACAAGUAAACUUUAUUGAACUAUUUACAAAACAUGUAAGUAGGAGCAGAUUAGAAUAUCGUUUACAUCAGGAUGCACAACCUUCCACUUCUGUAAGGAGUUCUUUAUUUUGCCAUUCUUGCUAGGUUGAAGCACUUGUUGAUUGUUUUUUGAAUAGCAGGACAGAAAUAAAGUACCUCAUGCUGAAAAGAGAAGUCAAAGAGAUCUCUUGGCAGGGGUUAGAAAGGAUAGACCCAGCAAAAUGUAUAUCUGUCAUAACUCACACUGUCAGUGGCUCUGUAAAUACAUAAUGUUGUGAGCGUCUUGUAGAAUCCUGGAGUUGGAAUAUUAUAUUACUUGUAGAUAACGCUGCUUUCAUCAUUUCUAAAAUGAUGCAGAAAAAUUAAUCCAUGCAUUUGUUACUUCUAGGCUAGACUACUGCAAUGCUCUACUUUCCGGCUACCCGGAUAAAGCACUAAAUAAACUUCAGUUAGUGCUAAAUACGGCUGCUAGAAUCCUGACUUGAACCAAGAAAUUUGAUCAUAUUACUCCAGUGCUAGUUUCCCUACACUGGCUUCCUGUUAAGGCAAGGGCUGAUUUCAAGGUUUUACUGUUAACCUAUAAAGCGUUACAUGGGCUUGCUCCUACCUAUCUUUCCGAGUUGGUCCUGCCGUACAUACCUACACGUACGCUACGGUCACAAGACGCAGGCCUCCUAAUUGUCCCUAGAAUUUCUAAGCAAACAGCUGGAGGCAGGGCUUUCUCCUAUAGAUCUCAAUUUUUAUGGAACGGUCUGCCUACCCAUGUGAGAGACGCAGACUCGGUCUCAACCUUUAAGUCUUUACUGAAGACUUAUCUCUUCAGUAGGUCAUAUGAUUGAGUGUAGUCUGAACCAGGAGUGUGAAGGUGAAUGGAAAGGCUCUGGAGCAACGAACCGCCCUUGCUGUCUCUGCCUGGCCGGUUCCCCUCUCUCCACUGGGAUUCUCUGCCUCUAACCCUAUUACAGGAGCUGAGUCACUGGCUUACUGGUGCUCUUUCAUGCCAUCCCUAGGAGGGGUGCGUCACUUGAGUGGGUUGAGUUACUGGCGUGAUCUUCCUUUCUGGGUUGGCGCCCCCCCUUGGUUUGUGCUGUGGUGGAGAUCUUUGUGGGCUAUACUCGGCCUUGUCUCAGGAUUGUAAUUUGGUGGUUGAAGAUAUCCCUCUAGUGGUGCGGGGGCUGUGCUUUGGCAAAGUGGGUGGGGUUAUAUCCUUCCUGUUUGGCCCUGUCUGGGGGAAUCAUCGGAUGGGGCCACAGUGUCUCCUGACCCCUCCUGUCUCAGCCUCCAGUAUUUAUGCUGUAGUAGUUUGUGUCGGGGGGCUAGGGCCAGUUGGUUUGAGUAGAGUGUGUGAGGUAAGGCAAUAAAUAGGACCCUUGGCCAUGUUCUGUUAUCUCCACCUGGCACAGCCAGAAGAGGACUGGCCACCCCUCAUAGCCUGGUUCCUCUCUAGGUUUCUUCCUAGGUUUUGGCCUUCUAGGGAGUUUUUCCUAGCCAAUGUGCUUCUACACCUGCAUUGCUUGCUGUUUGGGGUUUUAGGCUGGGUUUCUGUACAGCACUUUGAUAUAUCAGCUGAUGUAAGAAGGGCUAUAUAAAUAAAUUUGAUUUGAUCUCAGUGAGUAAGUUGUACACCUGAGCCCAAUUUAGUUUCUUCCCCUUUUCCCACAGUACACUCUUAAAAUCAAAUUGUAUUGGUCACAUGCACAUGAAUAACAGAUGUUAUUACGAGUGUAGCGAAAUGCUUGUGCUUCUAGUUCCGACAGUGCAGCAAUAUCUAACAAGUAAUAUCUAACAAUUCCACAACAAAAACCUAAUACACACACAUCUAAGUAAAGGAAUAAGAAUGUGUAUAAAUGUAUGGAUGAGUAAUGUCAGAGCGGCAUAGGCGAAGAUGCAAUAGAUAGUAUAGAAUGCAUUUAUACAUAUGAGAUGAGUAGUGCAAGAUGUGUAAACAUUGUUUAAAGCGACAUUAUUAAAGUGACUAGUUUUCAAUUUAUUAAAGUGGCCAAUGAUUUCAAGUCUGCAUAUAGGCAGCAGCCUCUCUGUGCUAGUGAUGGCUUUUUAACAGUCUGAUGGCCUUGCGAUAGAAGCUGUUUUACAGUCUCUCGGUCCCAGCUUUGAUGCACCUGUACUGACCACGCCUCCUGGAUGGUAGCGGGGUGAACGGGCAGUGGCUCGGGUGGUUGUUGUCCUUGAUCUUUUUGGCUUUCCUGUGACAUCGGGUGCUGUAGGUGUCUUGGAGGGCAGGUAGUUUGCCCCCUGAUGAUGCAAUGUGCAGACCGCACCACCCUCUGGAGAGUCCUGCGGUUGUGGGCGGUGCAUUUGCCAUACCAGGAAGUGAUACAGCCCGACAGCAUGCUCUCAAUUGUGCAUCUGUAAAAGGAUGUGAACGUUUUCGGUGACGACAAAUUUCUUUAGCCUCCUGAGGUUGAAGUGGCGCUGUUUCGCCUUCUUCACCACGCUGUCUGUGUGGGUGGACCAUUUCGGUUUGUCUGUGAUGUGUACGCCGAGGAACUUAAAACUUUCCACCUUCUCCACUGUUGUCCAUCGAUGUGGAUAGGGGUUGCUCCCUCUGCUGUUUCCUGAAGUCCACGAUCAUCUCCUUUGUUUUUGACGUUGAGUGAGAGGUUAUUUUCCUGACACAACACUCCGAGAGCCCUCACCUCCCUGUAGGCUUUUUCGUUGUUGUUGGUGAUCAAGCCUACUACAGUUGUCGUCUGCAAACUUGAUGAUUGAGUUGGAGGCAUGCAUGGCCACGCUGUCAUGGGUGAACAGUGAGUACAGGAGGGGGCUGAGCACGCACCCAUGUGGGGCCCCAGUGUUGAGGAUCAGCGAAGUGGAGAUGUUGUUUCCUACUUUCACCAUCUGAGGGUGGCCCGUCAGAACGUCCAAGACCCAAUUGCACAGGGCGGGGUUGAGACGCAGGGCCUAAAGCUUAAUGAUGAGCUUGGAGGGUACUAUGGCGUUGAAUGCUGAGCUGUAGUCGAUGAACAGCAUUCUUACAUAGGUAUUCCUCUUGUCCAGAUGGGAUAGGGCAGUGUGAUGAUGACUGCAUCGUCUGUGGACCUAUUGGGGCGGUCAGCAAAUUUAAGUGGGUCUAGGGUGACCGGUAAGGUGGAGGUGAAAUGAUCCUUGACUAGUCUCUCAAAGUACUUCAUGAUGACACAAGUAGUCAUUUAGUUCAGUUACCUUUGCAUUCUUGGGUACAGGAACAAUGGUGGCCAUCUUGAAACAUGUGGGGACAGCAGACUGGGAUAGGGAGAGAUUGAAUAUGUCCGUAAACACACCAGCUAGCUGGUCUGGGCGUGCUCUGUGGACGUGGCUAGGUAUGCUGUCUGGGCCGGCAGCCUUGCGAGGGUUAACACGUUUAAAAGUCUUAUUCAAGUCUGCCCCGGAGAAGGAGAGCCCACAGUCCUUGGUAGCUGGCCGCGUUGGUGGCACUGUGUUAUCCUCAAAGUGGGCAAAGAACGUGUUUAGCUUGUCUGGCAGCAAGACGUCGGUGUCCCCGACGUGGCUAGUUUGCCUUUUGUAGUCCAUGAUUGUCUGUAAACCCUGCCACAUACGUCUUGUGUCUGAGCCGUUGAAUUGUGAUUCCACUUUGUCUCGAUAUUGAAGUUUUGCCUGUUUGAUUGCCUUGCUGAGGGAAAGACUGCUCUGUUUGUAUUCUGCCAUAUUCCCCGUCACUUUGCCAUGGUUAACAUAUUCCAGUCUGUGCUAGCAAAAUAGUCCUGUAGUUUAGCAUCUGCUUCAUCUGACCACUUUUUUUAUAGACCGAGUCACUGGUGCUUCCUGCUUUAAUUUUUGCUUUUAAGCAGGAAUCAGCAGGAUAGAUUUAUGGUCAGAUUUGCCAAAUGGAGGGCGAGCGAGAGCUUUGUAAACAUCUUUGUGUGAGGAGGAAAGGUGGUCUAUAAUUUGUUUCCCUCUGGUUGCACGUUUAACAUGCUGAUAGAAAUUAGGUGAAACUAAUUUAAAUUUCCCUGCAUUUAAGUCCAACUAGGAGCGCUGCCUCUGGAUGAGCGUUUUCCUGUUUGGUUAUGGCGGAAUACAGCUCAUUGAGUGUGGUUGUAGUGCCAGCUUCGGUCUCUGGUGGUAUGUAGACAGCUACGGAAAAUACAGAUAAACUCUCUAGGUAGAUAGUGUGGUCUACAGCUUAUGAGAUACUCUACCUCAGGUUAGCAAAACCCUGACACUUCCUUAGAUAUCGUGCACCAGAUAUUGUUAACAAAUAUGCAUAGGCCCCCGCCCUGUCUCUUACCAGAGGCUGGUAUUCUGUCCUGCCGAUAGUGUAUAACCUGCCAACUGUAUGUUCUUAAUGUCGUUGUUCAGCCACAACUUGGUGAAACAAGAUAUUACAGUUUUAAAUGUCCUGUUGGUAGGAUAUACGUGCUUUCAGUUCGUUCAAUUUAUUUUCCAGCGAUUGAACGUUAGCUAGCAGAACGGAUGGCAAGGGCAGAUUAGCUACUUGUCGCCUGAUCCUCACAAGGCAUCCUGAUCUCUUUCCGCGAAACCUAAGUUUCCUUUUCCAGUGAAUCACGGGGAUCUGGGCCUAGUUGGGUGUCCGUAGUGUAUCCCUCGCGUCCGACUCAUUGAAGAAGAACUCCUCAUCCAACUUGAAGUAAGUAAUCCUAGUAGUGGAGGCUCCUAGGUUUUGUAUUGAAGUCAAUGUACCAAGAGGACGGAAGCUAUCUGUACUCGGGCUACACCAUGGUGCUACCCUACAGAAUGCUGUUGAAGCUACUUUAGACCUUCAUUGCAAAACAGUGUGUUUUAAUCAAUUAUUUGGUGACAAACAUAUUUUGUAUAGUUUUAUCUUAAAAGGAUAACUUUUUCUGUUUUACAAAAAAAAGAAAAAGGAAAUUCACUGAGGAGGAUGGUCCUCCCCUUGCUCCUCUGAGGAGCCUCCACUGUUGUAAACAAGCUGAUGCAUUGUUUUCUACAAAAAUAUGAAGGUUAUUGACCACACAUAAUUAAAUGAGAGCAUCUACAACCAAUUGCGCUCUAAUAUACACUAGAUGGCGGCAUUUAAUCACCAUGACACUGGGAUCAGCAUAGCCCUUAGCUUCCCGACUGUUCGUAAGCAGGGUUAGGGUUCCCACACUGCCAUAUUUCCACGUUACAGCGCUUGUUUACGGAAAACAGACGGAAGACCGAGUGGACUACCUGUGCUAAUUAGCUAUCUGCGUCUCCGAACACCUGUGUGUAAACGGUAGACAGACGCCACAAAGGUGUUGUCACUGAAAAAUACUGCCUGCUGAAACUGUUAAAACAGUGUACGGUAGUGGAGGCUUGUUGAUGAGCUAUAGGAGGACGGGCUCAUUGUAAUGGAUGGAGUCAAACAUGUGGUUUCCUUAUAUUUGAUGUGUUUGAUAUCGUUCAAUUUAUUCCAUUCCAGUCAUUGCAAUGAGCCUGUCCUCCUGUUGCUCCUCCACCCAGCCUCCUCUGUUGUACAGUGUGUGUAUUUUGCAUUUGUGAAAUUAGUUUUAUGUUAUAUGAAAGUAGAGGGAUUUAUGUUUCUAGAACCUUACUGCAAUUGAGAAUCGAUUCACGUUUAGCUGCAGUAUUUGGCAGCUUUGGCUUCCAGAGCCAAAUCACCCUUUAAACAGACAUGUAAGGUCCUUGGACUAAGGAGUAACGUUAGCCCAAUAUUGGACUAAAGGAGCCUAACUAUUGAGUAUGAGCUGUCAAAUGCUGAUUUUUAAUGUAUUCAUUUUACAACAACAAUUACUCUUUGUCUGACACACUACUGGUUUUACCAAAAUAAUACAACUCUAUUUGUUAAAAAAAAAUCAGAUCUGUUGUCUGUUCGGCAGGAAUUGUAAGUCGGACGCCAACACAGAAAAUUAGUAGAUCUGGUUACUGUUGCUUGGAUACCUGUUAUUCAAACCAGUGAAUAAGGGCUACAGCAAAAUUCUACUGACGGGAAUUGGUGGUCUACUCUUUCAGUCUAAUACAAUACAAACGUUGCAGUUAAAAUGACCAUGAACUUCAUAAAUGGGCAUAUCAACUGGCACUACUUUAGUUCUAGAGCAUGUGUAAGCAAGCACGUGUAACCAAUUACGACCUUUAUGAUUUUAUGGGCUGUUAAAAGAAGAAAAGCAAUAUUUGGUCAUGUUCAACAAUGACAAGUUUGAUCAAUGUUGCAUUAAUAUAUCCUCUUUUCGCCCAUCACAAAUCACAAUGUGUCUUUCUGCAUUUUAGCAGGAGGUGGAACUUGCCCCUAACUACUGAUACAGGAUAAGAUAUCCCCCCCCCCCCCAGUUUGGGUAGGGUAAUCUGAUCCCAGGUCUAUAGUGAAGGGUAACUUCUAGUUCGACUGGCACCAUUUUGUUUUUCCUGUGCAAAUAAGUUUCUGUGAUCUGUCCAAUGAGGGAACGAAGGGUGCCGUUUUUCAUGGGAAUGGGGGUUUACAACUCUUGUUGCUAGGCUGUGGAUAUUUUUCUAGGAAAUCUUCCACUGCAAAACAGCCGAAGCUGUUCCGCUCACAUCUUAUUGGUUGGUGAUGGGGUGGAGUACUGAGAACUGAACAGUACAUUCAAAAUGGCGUAUGUGUUUUUGCUGCUUCCCACAAAGCAACGCCAUUAUGGUCUCUCACUGACAUUCUUCAAUUGUAUCUGUAUACAAUUGGUUCUUACAUGGACAAUGCAUAUUAUUUGUAAUAUUAAGACAAAUUAUUAUCAAUUCAAGCAAUUACAUCAACAUAUUAUAGGCAAACAAUUACAAGUGUGGUAGUCUAUAUUAGUUUGACACUGGUAGAUUUUGACAUAUCUACUGUGUUCUAUAACUAUUUAAUUGAAUAGCCUUUAGCUAUGCAACACGUGAUGAAAUAAGUGUACUGAAAUUUAAUGAAAUACCGGACAGGAGGUAGUAAAACACAACUUCAGCAUUGUUUAAUGUUCAUAACUAAACUAUUUCACCAAUGAAGUUGGUUUAUACAUCUUGCCUCAACACAAAACAUUUCUUAAGAAGGACAAACAUUAAAUGCAAAACAGACAGUAAACCUUUGAGCAUAGAUCUUUGGACAAUACAAGGGAAAUGUUGCCGCAAUGUAUCUCCUAGUUUUAACAUUUGAUACAUUUCAGAAAAGUGUAUAAAAUAAAUGUAGAGCCACAAUGUUGCAUAUUUUCCUCAAAUCGCUUUAUAGUAAUUAUCUAAACCAUUAGAGUAGAGGCUCUGCUUGCUACCCAGGAUGCUGGUGUGUUUCAGAGGAAGUUGUGUGCGCUUACGUUGAAAAAGAGGGGGCAGAGCUAUUGAAUAGGAUAACAGUUCUUGCAGACCCAGUGAGAAGGACAGACGGAAGAGACCAGCAUCCAGCACAGAAUGGCAGAGACGCACAACUGUCAGGGUGAAGAUCCCGAUAAAAUGACGAAAAUCUGCAAGAAAUGCGGCGGUCGCGCGGGUAGAAGACGGGGGAUAGCGCCCUUCUCACAUGUGGGAAACAUUGAAGUUUGAAAAAUGGGGGUUAAGAAGAAUACCGAAGUCUUGAUACUCGAAAAAUGGUUUGUCAUCCGGAUGGCCCACCAAAUCGAUGACUAGGGGGAUCGGAAUGAUCAAGACUUAAUCAAGACAUAGACUGACUGACUGUUCCAUUCCCUCCCCAUGAAGUAAGAAGACAGCUAUCAAAUACCAGCACAUAAGAUCAUCAAAUCCAACGUUUUCAAGAUAAAACGAUGAUUAAGAAUAAAAAGCAAGAAGAUGAAGGUUCGACUCAAAGCAAUGCAUCAAGGUACGAUCAUCUAUUUAACUUUUUUGACAUCUAUUUUCAUUGUUUACCUUGACAAGCAUGGUUGAUCGCCUGUGGACACAUUUGCUACAUAGUUUUAACGAUUUGUACUAGUUUCAAACAAAUGACCUUGGUCUUGUUUAAUAGCCACACCCUAAUUUUGCUAGCAUUUUGUUACACUAAAGACUGAACUUUCAGGCCCAUGUUAUUGCAUCUUUACCCACAUGUAUACAACCUAGAAUAAGUUUAAUUGGCUUUUUCCCCAAGAACAAAUGCAUGAUUUCAAUGUUUGUUCCAUCGUUACAAUGUUAUAUGACCUUGUCAUAUUAGUCGAUACUGCAUUGCACCAUUUGAACAUGCAACGCGUAUUCUUUUUUAAAACGUUUUAGAACUGUAAUUUACUCAUGUUAACAGCAUGUGUGGCUGAAGGGAAGUAUUCAAAUAAAUAUCCAGUAGGCGCUAUUCAACUUUUUUUUCUGCAUUGGCAACAAUGUAGUUAAGUUUAAAGACGCAUUUGUCAUCGUUUGAAACAGUUGACAACAUUGGUUUUAGUAAGCUUAAAUGUGGGUAGCCUAAAUUAUAAAGUGUUCUCAUUAUUUGAAUGAGAACUUAAAUGUAUACUAGGCCAUAGUCAAUCACGACUGAAUGUUCACUAGAUUUUAGUUUCUAUUUAGGCUGUUGUAGAUCUAUUUACCUCCUGGAUAUUUUGUCUUCAGUUACAACUUCAUUUGUUACAGGCUUCUGUCCAUAAGAAAGGGAGCCUCUAUUAUUGUAUGCCUAUUUGAAAACGGCUUCACUGAUAGUCAGUCCUCUUGUAAAUGUAUUUAACUUUUACAUGUUUUGUGGAUAGCCAUUUGAAAUAGUUAUUAGGUAAGGUGUGUGUAUAUACUGAAAAAGUAUGCAUUCCGAUGUCAUUCAGAGAACAAUUUCAUAGGGGUUAUUGGCAUUGAUGUGGCUCUUUCUGAAGUGCUCUUCACUGGUACACAAAUCAGACUAACCAUUGACAUACUACAUUUUGCACAGAUUUGGUGUUCACUCAAAAGUUAUAGAUUAGGCUUUUCUAUUAGGCUACAUUUUCAGAUUUGAUAGGACAGCUGAUUCAAUUGAGUGAUGUCCUCAAUGCACAGUAGCCCUUUAUUCAGCUGUGCCUGUAUUUGUGACUAAGAGGGGCUUAUAUUCUGAUACCAUGGAAUAGGCUAAUAGCUAAGUGCCAGGAUGGUAAAUGUCAUGUAUUGCAGAUGUUUUCAUGGUCUCAACAACUUUAGUGAUUUAGAUUAUACUUUUAUUUGUAAAAUAAUACAAAAGUUGGGAUUCAAAUGAUUGAAAUGUAUUAUCUGUUUGUGUUGGAACACGAAACAAUGUAAUUUAUUAUAAUCAAUAAAAAGUUAUACAUGUGCUCAGGUUAUUUUGAGGCAUACUUAUGUCAAAUAACCAUUCUUGCUUGCAAAAUCAUGGUAAUCUUGAGUGGAACAUAUCUGCUUAUCCAUCAUAGUGAAAUCAUUUCAUUAUAUGGGGGAUGGUAAGUGCACAUUGCUUACACCUCUUACAUUUCUGAUAGGUUUAGAAUUCAGUCAUGGAAGUAACUGUCUUAUGUCGGCCUAUGUAUAAUUGGUGACUGGAUAUCGUAAUUAAAGCCUGAUGGGGCCAACGUGUUGUCACCUAUUACAUGGCUUACAUUUCUUACCAUAGGCCUACAUGACUACUACAACUACAGGCCUGUUUGGGUUUCUCUUCAAGAGAGAAGUAUUGCAUUGGUUUUAGAUUGUUAAACCAUGCAAAUGUUUCAGCUUAACUGCCCAUAACCCUUAAUUCAAUUGAUAAUGGGUCACAUACAUGACAUGAAGACAUUGUCACACAAUUAAAGGCUGUGUAGUGCAUUUGCUAUCCUAUUGGCAGCCAUUUUAAUAACCAUGCACAUUUUAUCCAAAGUCUGUCCCUCAAAAUAUUAAUCCUCUACCACACUUUUGACUGCUCGUCCUGAUAGGUGACUACUUUUCAAGCACAUGUAAGCAAAAGACACAGAGAGCAGAUCACUCUAAUAAAUAUUCUUUUGAAAUACAGGACAUGAAGUGGAGUCCACUUUUAAUUCACAAAAUGGCUCUUGUUUUGUACUUUCUGUAUUAAGUGUGCUCAGAACUACAGGAAAUGGGAACAGGAAGUGUUUCAAAGGUCAUAGGCUUUUAUUUUGAGCUGGGAUUGGCUCAUUCCUCACCUAGCAACCCACCAGCCUGUAAUCAUUAACUUCAUUUUUUUGUCCCGCCUAUGUCUAACCUCACACUCAAUGAAGGGAGUCACUUGCUCAUGGGGGUUUGAGCAUUUGUCACUGGGUGACUGACUUACAUUUACAUUUAAGUCAUUUAGCAGACGCUCUUAUCCAGAGCGACUUACAAAUUGGUGCAUUCACCUUAUGACAUCAAUAAAUAAAUUGUCAAUAAAUUACAAUAACUUUAUCACAAUUCAUUAGCUUUUGAUAUCACAAUAAGAAAUAGAUCUUAAUUUUUCUUAACUGAAUAGUUAUAUAAACAUUUAAUCAGUUAGAUGUAUAUUUUCAAAUAAAAUAGAAAAUCUAUGUACUAAUAGAAUAGCUGUAGUUAUAUGCAUAAAUACUGUCAUCAGUGACUACACAGGUAAUAAAGCAUGGCUACAAAUGAAGGGAUUGUUUUUGUUCUAUUGUAGCAGCCUGCUCCAUGUUUUAACCAUUUUAAGAUAGGCUGACUGUGGAUAUGAUCUAUUUUGAAAAUGGAAUAAUGCUGAUGUGGGUACCCCCUGUAGUCUGUUCAAGGUAUUGCACAUUCCAUGUUAGUAUGGGGCAUAGACAGGUUUACACUCUAAUUUGCUGUGUUUAUUAUGUAAGAAUUACAGUUUAAUAAAUAAAUGUUAGUGAUUUAAUGUGUUCUGGUUUCAUUAAAUAAAGACAUUACAUUUAAA